UUUGACAAGAGUUAGGAAGCUGAUCGAGAUUUUUAGUUCGUCAACGCAAUAUUGCAAAUGCAAUAGUGUAAUGACUGUUUUUUUGAUAUUAUGGAACAAACGUCCCCCUGGAACGAUGAACUAGUUCAAUUUUGGUGGUUAAUGGUCAGUGUGACAUCAUAUGCGUUCCAUUUUGGUGAACCCGAUGUUUCCAACUUCCACACUAUGACUAAAACGAUAAGUGUAUGCUGUAACCAUAUGCUAAUUAUCUUAAUCUCAACACGUUUUGGGAAAAAAAACAAGAUUUUGGACGGACAUGGAUGUGAAAUCCAGUUCAACUGGUUACACACAACAGCAAUUCGUUACUUUUAGCUUUCGUCGAAGCACCGAUGAGUAUGAUGAGCACCUGAUUAACGCUCUCACAGUCUGUUCCAACGGAGCCAAAUGGAAGCUUAGCGUCUCCCAUCUACUGUCACUGAUUACAUCAGCAAAAUUAAACAAUCUGUCAUGUAUAGCACGAACCGUCUUAGCUUUGAUGGAAUAAUAAAUACUAUGUACGCAAGAAAACGGUGACAGCUCUUCACGGCUUCGUUCUGUUCAUCCGUACAUUGAGGCUCUGGCAUGAGUUGACACGCUGCGGGCAGAUGGAGCUGACGUGACAUCACCAGCUACAGGACGGGCCGAUGAAGAAGCAGGUACACUGACGGGCACAUGGUGCAUGCGGGAGGGAAAGGGGAUGUUCCAUGGAGAACGUUUCAAUGAAAACAACAAGAAAGGAAAGAAAGGAGGGAACAAUUAAUACACCUCAGAUGCUUAAUCUCAAGGUUCCCAAUCGGCUUUAUUCAAUCUUUAUCCAAUCAACGGCAUUAUUUCUGGAAAUGCUGAGUUUGAAGGACGCACGUUCGGACUCGUGACGACCAAAAACAAAAAUUUUAAGAAGAUAAUUGCUAGAGAGGCAACGAACGAGGGGUAGACGCAUGUUUUGAGGGGCCAAGAGUGAAGAAUGAUAAAAGCUCAUUAGCAAAACGGCUCCUCUCUCACCUCCCGCUGUUACACGUGGACACGUGUUUGUGUCUCUGUGUGUGUGUUUGUGUCUGUGUCCACAGGCUUUCAGUCAAAAGGACAAAGAGCCUUGUCAAGUAAACAUGCAGCCAGUCAAGCAAACAGUUGAGGUCAUGCACACACACACACACACACACAGUAUAUGUUUAGAUGCGUGUAUUGUGUGAGGGCACCGAUGCCGUUUCCAAGUCAUUUAACACUAGAUGGUGUUGGACUGGCCAAUGAUUACCAUUCUGUCUGAAAUACAAACAGACACAGAGAGACAGGGAGUGUGUGUGUGUGUGUGUGUGUGUGUGUGUGUGUGUGUGUGUGCGUGUGGGGGGCACAGGUAACGGCCAUCAGAGGCAGCAAGCACUCAAACAGCACAGUGCACUCAGAAAGUGAGCGUUGUGCUUUAUUAGUACUUUUAAAGAGGUUUCUCACUUUUUUUAAAAACAUUUUCGGCAAAGGUCUUCAAUGCAAAGGUCUUCAAUGCAAAAGUCUUCAAUGCAAAGGUCUUCAAUGCAAAAGGUCUUCAAUGCAAUGGUCUUCAAUGCAAAAGUCUUCAAUGCAAAGGUCUUCAAUGCAAAGGUCUUCAAUGCAAAGGUCUUCAAUGCAAAGGUCUUCAAUGCAAAGGUCUCCAAUGCAAAGGUAUUCAAUGCAAAGGUCUUCAAUGCAAAGGUCUUCAAUGCAAAGGUCUUCAAUGCAAAGGUCUUCAAUGCAAAGGUAUUCAAGGCAAAGGUCUUCAAUGCAAAAGGUCUUCAAUGCAAAAGGUAUUCAAUGCAAAAGGUCUUCAAUGCAAAUGUCUUCAAUGCAAUGGUCUUCAAUGCAAAAGUCUUCAAUGCAAAGGUCUUCAAUGCAAAGGUCUCCAACGUGACUUCUGCAGUUGAAUGUGCCCGAUUGUCCACAUACAUGUCCAAACUUUAGUGGAACUUGGGGGGGAUUGGAUAGUGAAUAUGUUAUGUGUUCGGCCAUGGCGGCGGAUGAAUGCAUUGCAUCGGCCCCCGGCCCCUCGGGCCCCUCGGGCCCCCGGGCCCCCGGGCACCGAUAGGUAGACGGAGAUCUUUGUGUAAAACUCAACAGAGCUAUGGGAGGAACCCAGGACUAUAUCCCACAUAGAGAGUGGUGACCUAGUGAAAGCGAUACAACAUAAUGUCGUAAAAAAAACGACGACAACAUCCCAAAUGACCAAGAGAAUAAAGUCAAAGUUUUUCUAUAUUAACUCUCUCUCAAAGGUAUAUUCGUACAGCUUUUCCUACAAAUAAAACCAGGGUAUCUAUUGCAUCCCCCAAGAUUCGAUGUGUCUGUUUAAUGCACAAUUUAGUACGAACAGCGAUCAGACUUUCAUUGAUAGUUGAGGGAAGCAUUUAACUCAUUGGGGUUGAACAUUCUCUCAAGUUAUUGGAGGACUAUCUUUCCUGUUUGUAAUGUCAGAAGAAACUCCAGAACUAUGCAUGUUAUGUACAUUUCUGAUCUAUUGAUCUACUGUUUUCAGUAAAUUGUAUAAAACUACACAUUUGGCGUCGCUGUGUAAAAAGUGUUUGUCCACCUCAGGGCAAAAAACAAAACGCUGUUCUGUCUCCCUUCCCUUCUUCUCUGCUGACAAUGACUCCUGUCGGCCCCGUGUCUUUCCCGGGAGCUGUCAGGGGGAGUAUUCAGCAUGCUUACCGAAGCACACAAAUGACACCUUUUAAGGCUGUGAGCUGUGUGUGUGUGUGUGUUUGUGUUAAAUGUAAGUGCACCAACGGUUUCACAAAGUGCAAAUUCCAUUUUUGUUGCGACGCUCUGGAGAGAAUAUCGUUUUCACUUCAUUAGCUCUGUAUGUGUGUAUCUGUGUGGAUGUGUGUGGAGAAAAAGAUGAGAUGGUGCCUCUAUCAAUCUGUGUGUGUGUGUGUGUGUGUGUGUUUGUGUUUGUGUUUGAGGGAACACACAGCUUGUUUGGUCGCUUCAUUUGUCUUCUCUAACAUGAUUACAAAUACUUAACUAUUAACUAUGAUAUGGGAUUUUAACUUAGAAUUCCCUUUUUUUUCAAUCCUUCUUUGCAAUUCUUCUUCAAAGAGGAUGUUUGUUAACUAUUGCCUCCCUACUAGAAAACUGCGAGCCUGGAAAAGGGCAUUGCAGGCAUUUUCUCUCUCUCAUUAUUUCUCUGUAAAUGUAUGAAAUAAAGGAUCAGUUAUUCGUUACCUGCUCAAUUGGAAUAUAAUGGGUCAUUUAAGGCAAUAACAUUUCUUUCGGGAUGCCCUUUGCCGCUGCAACCAUUUUAUUCAUCAAGUUAUCCAAGUAAAAUCCCGUAGUUGAGGCGUGCGAGGUUUUCAAACAAGUCUUCUUUUUCAUUCACAUUUUCUUAUCAUUUUAGUUGCUGGAUUUGCUGCAGACCAACUGUAUCCGUCCCAGAGUCAAUAUAUUAUGGAAGUAGCUACAUGUCAGCUUUGUUGGUUUGUUACAAUUACUUUUAUUUACAAAUUCACAGCUCUAAAAAUCCAAAAUGUGAAUUUACAACAUUUCCCGAAUACAUUUUAUAAAACAGCGCGUUUCAUGAAUCAACUGUAUUCCCAUUUGGAAGAUGGUAAAUGCAAUAGUUUAGACCCUGGGGGAUUUAGACCUCUAGUCACGCUAUGGAGCUGUCUGUGAGACAGUUUCUACGCUGAUCUAUAGUUUGAGAUCCCAUAACGUAACGUGCCUCUGCGAUGCUCUGCUUGAAAGACACAGAAGGUGUGUUUCUUAAGGGUUUAGGAUGAGGAUGAAAGAGCAUUUGUUGGUUUGUUCUGGUACAACUACAGCAAAUAAACAUUACAAAUGUGGGUUAAGUGUUUGGGAUAUUUUACAUGUGGCCCUGCAUCUCAUUUUUCCCUUUCAAGAGGACCCAUUAGUUGACUGUAGCUCACUUUCUCCACAGCACAGCAGCCCGAGUGGCUCUUUAUCAUGAUUUCUCUUCGUCUUCGUGCAGGAUAUCCGAGAGGGAAUCUCAUCAUCUUUUCUCCACCGGAAGCAAAUCCAAAUACGCACAUACAUCGUGUGUUUUACACUACAAGGGGAUGCAAGUGGGCACGUCAUUAAAACUUAAUCAUGUUUUAUCAAUUGUUGGGGCACUUCAGUCGUCUUCUUGAGUCCAGCCUUUCACAUGUCAAAAAAUGUUGAUUUCCGAGUUAAAUAUUUACCAUAAAUGUGAGAUUAAUGAGUUAGUUGUGGAAUAUAAUGCUUUUUCGCUUGAUAGAUUUCUGUUAAGAAGAACAUUACGUUAACCUAAAACUAAGUUAUUGAGUUGAAUUGUUCUCUGAUUCGACAUUUCUCCUUUGUGAUCUCUCUUAAUCUUCUUCAUAAUAAAAAGUAAUACAAGCAGUCAAUAAGUGUUUUUUUUUAUGUUACGCCAACUUAAAAUAGAAGUAAUGAAAUAGACAGCGCAGACGUUGUGAUCCGCUUCACAGCACAAAUUGAUUAAACAUCGAAUUGACAUUUUCCACGGCUCCGCACUUUGUGUUAUUAUGAUGUGAAAGCAGGUCAUUCGCUUGCAGUAACAAUAUUGAAGUCAGAUAAAUAAUUAAAAAGUUGGACACAAACUUUGAUGCACUGCAGCUUCUACCAGAGACAGAUGCGUAAUUACAGAGAGACACUGUAAAGCCUUUACAACAGCCAUGAGACAACCAAGCAGAAAAUGACCGGUCGCAGGAGCAAGACGCAAUAGACGAGUGCACAGUUGGCGCGGCUGCUGGAUUUCAGUGCUGGGCUUCUUGUGCACAAGCGUGAUCGUUUGUGGCGACCGUUCAUUUUUUUUAUCUUGUUGGUAAUCUUGUAAGUGUGGUUUUGGACACGCUUGAGAAUCGCGGGAUGGCCCAUUCAAAGGACAAUCU
ensembl:lncRNA